GACGAACGCUGGCGGCGUGCUUAACACAUGCAAGUCGAACGGAAAGGCCCUGCUUUUGUGGGGUGCUCGAGUGGCGAACGGGUGAGUAACACGUGAGUAACCUGCCCUUGACUUUGGGAUAACUUCAGGAAACUGGGGCUAAUACCGGAUAGGAGCUCCUGCUGCAUGGUGGGGGUUGGAAAGUUUCGGCGGUUGGGGAUGGACUCGCGCGUUAUCAGCUUGUUGGUGGGGUAGUGGCUGACCAAGGCUUUGACGGGUAGCCGGCCUGAGAGGGUGACCGGCCACAUUGGGACUGAGAUACGGCCCAGAAUCCUACGGGAGGCAGCAGUGGGGAAUAUUACACAAUGGGCGGAAGCCUGAUGCAGCAACGCCGCGUGCGGGAUGACGGCCUUCGGGUUGUAAACCGCUUUCGCCUGUGACGAAGCGUGAGUGACGGUAAUGGGUAAAGAAGCACCGGCUAACUACGUG
rnacentral:rRNA from 1 species